rnacentral:tRNA from 1 species
AGCUAGAUAGCAUAAAUGGCUAAUGCACACGAUUGCAAAUCGUUAUACAUCAGUUCAAAUCUGAUUCUAGCUU